AGGAGCGAUAUCAGGCACAACAAACCGCCCAAGACCUCUAGCUACGCCACACCCACAAGGGAAUUCAGCAGUGAUUAACAUUGAGCAUAAGCGACAGCUUGACUCAGUUAAAGUAAAUAGAGCCGGCAAAUCUGGUGCCAGCCGCCGCGGUUACACCACGUGGCCCAAAUUGACUUCCAUCGGCGUAAAGCGUGAUUAAAGUUAUAUCACCAUUAGAGUUGAACUAAAACUAAGCUGUAACACGCUUGUGCUUAAGAAAACCAAAAACGAAAGUUACUCUAACUUAACCAACUUGAAUCCACGACAGCUGAGACACAAACUGGGAUUAGAUACCCCACUAUGCCCAGCCGUAAACUUUAAAUUACACCCAAAUCGCCAGGGAACUACGAGCAAAGCUUAAAACCCAAAGGACUUGACGGUACCCCACAUCCACCUAGAGGAGCCUGUCCUAUAAUCGAUACCCCCCGUUAAACCUCACCACUUCUCGCCAAAUCAGCCUGUAUACCUCCGUCGUCAGCUUACCACGUGAGCGCAACCCAGUGAGCCCAAUGCCCACACGCCAAUACGUCAGGUCAAGGUGCAGCAAAUGAAGUGGGAAGAGAUGGGCUACACUCUCUUAUAUAGAAAACACAGAAAACUAAUUAUGAAAUCUAGUUCAAAGGCGGAUUUAGAAGUAAAAAGAAAAAACGAGCAUUCUUUUUAAUUUGGCACUGG
rnacentral:rRNA from 1 species